rnacentral:rRNA from 1 species
UACGAAGGGGGCUAGCGUUGUUCGGAAUUACUGGGCGUAAAGGGCGCGUAGGCGGUGUGUCAAGUCAGGCGUGAAAGCCCCGGGCUCAACCUGGGAACCGCGCUUGAGACUGGCACGCUCGAGUUCGGGAGAGGAUGGUGGAAUUCCCAGUGUAGAGGUGAAAUUCGUAGAUAUUGGGAAGAACACCAGUGGCGAAGGCGGCUCACUGGCCCGGUACUGACGCUGAGGUGCGAAAGCGUGGGGAGCAAACAGG